ensembl:lincRNA 4930471C06Rik RIKEN cDNA 4930471C06 gene
AACUUGCCAAUUAUGCUUUCCAGAUAUUACAGGGGACUCCGAUUGGCUCUCCCCGAGUCACGUGCUCCCUGCUGGCCAAACAACAGUAGCCUGGAGUGUGAAGUUCAUGGGAUCUCACUCCUAAAUUCAAAAGUUAAGACAAUGAGGACGGCUGUCUUACAAGACCUAAUGGCCCUUGACGUACUAACAGCAGCGCGAGGAGGAACCUGUGCCAUCAUUAGAGUGCUGUGUAUAUAAACCUGACAACUGGGACAAUAUGUCCCCAGUCCUCCAAGAUUUACAUACUCAAAUUAAAUCUCUUGUCAAGCCCU